rnacentral:rRNA from 1 species
UACGUAGGGUGCGAGCGUUGUCCGGAAUUAUUGGGCGUAAAGAGCUCGUAGGCGGUUUGUCGCGUCGACUGUGAAAACCUGGGGCUUAACUCUGGGCCUGCAGUCGAUACGGGCAGACUUGAGUUCGGUAGGGGAGACUGGAAUUCCUGGUGUAGCGGUGAAAUGCGCAGAUAUCAGGAGGAACACCGGUGGCGAAGGCGGGUCUCUGGGCCGAUACUGACGCUGAGGAGCGAGAGCGUGGGGAGCGAACAGG